rnacentral:rRNA from 1 species
AGAGUUUGAUCCUGGCUCAGAUUGAACGCUGGCGGCAGGCCUAACACAUGCAAGUCGAGCGCGAAAGCCUUCGGGUGAGUAGAGCGGCGGACGGGUGAGUAACGCGUGGGAAUCUACCUAGUAGUGGGGGACAACAACCGGAAACGGUUGCUAAUACCGCAUACGUCCUACGGGAGAAAGGGGGCUUCGGCUCUCGCUAUUAGAUGAGCCCGCGUUAGAUUAGCUUGUUGGUGGGGUAAUGGCCCACCAAGGCGACGAUCUAUAGCUGGUCUGAGAGGAUGAUCAGCCACAUCGGGACUGAGACACGGCCCGAACUCCUACGGGAGGCAGCAGUGGGGAAUAUUGGACAAUGGGCGAAAGCCUGAUCCAGCCAUGCCGCGUGUGUGAAGAAGGCUCUAGGGUUGUAAAGCACUUUCAGUAGGGAGGAAAAGUUAGUAGUUAAUACCUGCUAACCCUGACGUUACCUACAGAAGAAGCACCGGCAAACUCCGUGCCAGCAGCCGCGGUAAUACGGAGGGUGCGAGCGUUAAUCGGAAUUACUGGGCGUAAAGCGCGCGUAGUUGGCUUGUUAAGCAGAAUGCGAAAUCCCCGGGCUUAACCUGGGAACUGCAUCCUGAACUGGCAGGCUAGAGUAUAGUAGAGGACAGUGGAAUUUCUGGUGUAGCGGUGAAAUGCGUAGAUAUCAAAGGAACAUC